rnacentral:lncRNA from 1 species
CUCUCUCCUCUCUUCCCUUCCUCUAUUAAUUUUUCUUUCUCUCUAAAGCAUCUAAGAGAUCAAAAAAGAAGAAGAAGAUCAGCCUUCAAAGAUCCUUACGAGCUAGCACUCUCGAGGAGCCUGAUCAGCAUUCGUUCUUCAUGUGGACAAUCUGUAGAAGCCAGACACCUUUGUGUGAUUUUGAGCAAUAUGAAGGAACUCCAACCAUGCGAUACACUUGCAGAGAUCAGUAACCCAUGCUUCGGUAAUGAGUUCUUCACUUGUU